ensembl:lncRNA
CAUGCAGACUGUAAUAGUUUUACUGUGACAUCAUUAGUUUUACUGUCACAAAACAGCACAGGUGGGGGAUAUUUGAAGUAGCCAGUUGUUGCUGGAGGGAGAAGGAGCCAGUCAGAGCGCACGACGAGACGUGGCCGGUAGCAAUCAGUCAACGAGGGUAAUAUCCCGGUGUGAGCCAGCGCACGGGCAUACAGAGCGAGAGGAGGGCACCCGUCCCGGACACUUUACAUUAGGCUGGCUACCUCCUGUGUUACAAAUUCAUAUAUGAAGAAAAGCAAUCAGGUGGUCCUGAAUGGAAAUUUGUAGAAUUUCUUUACAACUGCAAAAAGGCGAAUAAAACGAGAGUACUGGUGAGAGAGACGGUUGUGAGGCUGAGGCAGGCUGUGAUGCAUGGAGGAGGAGGCAGAGGAGACAGAGAGAGACAGGUUCCAUGACUUUAUGGAGACAUUUUCAUUUGUAAUUCCGGAGAUUUUUCUUCCCAUUCUUUCCAAGAAGUGACGCAACAUCAACACUCCCAGUAAACUGGACACAGGAAUAUUUGUUGUGUUACAAGAGCUACGCCAGAGCACCCAGACAGACCAAGUCUCAACGAACAGGUUGGCAAGGACACAGGAGAGGCCUCAUGGGAGGAACAAAACGGGAUAAGAAACCAGACGGGAUAAGAAACCAGACGGGAUAAGAAACCAGACGGGAUAAGAAAUGUGACGACUGACUGAGCAAAAGAAGAAUACGUCAGAGAAAGAAGGAAAGAGAGAAGGAUUGUGUGUUCUCUACUUUCUCAGAAGUGCAGCCCCUAAAUUCCUGUUACUAUGCCUGAGAGAGGGAGCGCAGCAGACCAGUCAAAAUGAACCCCUACGUCACCUCUCACUUUAGGAGGGAUCUCUUUCCCCACUUCCACUUGUUGUAGAGGCUUCUCUUCUCCCCUCUCUUACUGUUUGUGUGACAUGACAACACCUGUCUCUGUGUAAACCUAAGACAGUAGGUAACACCUGUCUCUGUGUAAACCUAGGACAGUAGGUAACACCUGUCUCUGUGUAAACCUAGGAC